ACUCCCUCAUAUACCUCCCUCAAGGCGAAGUCGGCUUCGGAAGGUCGGAGAUAUUUCAAGAGGGGCAGGGAGUACGACCUCUUGUAUAGCUUGCCUUCAUAGAGGAUAUAUUGGGAGGCCUGGUUCUUAAGCUUUCGAGCCUCUUUUGCAUCAGGAGGAAGAACCCCGUCCUUGAGGUAUGUAACUAGUGGGUCGAUCCAACUG
rnacentral:lncRNA from 1 species